CGGACCUGAACGAGGCGGCAAGGUCGGUUCUACCCCGCCGGGCCUUCCCCGCGCUCCCCGGCGCCCCCAGCCCGCUGACCCCCGGCCAGGCAGGCCCGCGGGGGAGGCAGGACCGGAGCCCGGAGGCCCUGGCCGGUCUCGGGGUUGAUGCUCAGCUCAGGAUAAGUGAUCUUUGGGGCCCGCAGAGGACGUCUCCCCAAGACCCAGUGUCAACCGGCUGGUGGUCAGUGGAGCGGCUCCCCCAGGGGCAAGGAACAUUUUGCCAGGCUUGGAUUAACUUCUGCAUUGCUGAGCCCCACCCCAGCACCACAUUAACUCAUGAAGACAUCCUGGAGUGGGGGUGGAGGAGGAGGCGGGAGGAUGGUGCUGGGCACCGAUUGAGAAAUUGAGCCUGGAUAAGGCAGCACCAAGGCUAACAGCCAGGAUACAGCCCACAGCCGGUCUGCAAGGGAUGGAGACAUCAGUAUCUUGCUGAUUCUAGUCACAAACCGCAAACCCACUGCCCUUUCCUUCGCAGCAGCUAGUACAGCUCCUGGCCAAGGGGCCCCUCUGGCUUAAGGUCCUUUAGUGACCUUCUCAUGCUGCCAACACAGAUUCAUGACCUCAGGAAGUUCAACCUCCUCAGGGUGGCUGAGUGAUCCCGGGGUGGGAGUAGGUGAGGACAGACCCCAGGAUCUCAGGCUGCCAAGCUGGACAAACAAGAAAGCAGGGAUACAGGCCAGUGUGACUGCGUGAACGGAGCGAGAACGCGAGGGACGAGAGGCGAGUUGUACUUCUCACCUAGGAGCUCCAGGACAGCCCCUGCUAUCCGCAAUUUGUUCUCUUUGGAGUAACCUCCGCUCACUGCAGGGCGGCAUUCAAGUCCAAAGUCCCACCCGAGGGAAAAAUCACAUGACCUCAGCUUAUAUAAUCUCCCUGUCACUGAACAGCUGGAACCCAAGGCUUCGGAAGAUGAGUCAGCAGCCCCAGUGGCAAAUAGGACCCAGUGGAUCCAGCCCUGCCUUGUCAAGUUCUGAAUGUUCUGGGAGGCACCAGCAUUUCUAUCUCCUGUGCCACUUCACAGAUGGCACAACAAAGCCAAGACUCCCUAAGUCAUAUUAUCAAA